GUGAUUCCAGUGGCCCCAGCGGCAGUGCUGCC
rnacentral:scRNA from 1 species